UUACGGCCAUAUCAAGUUGAAACAGUGGUUCCCGUACGAUCACCAAAGCUAAGCAACGUCAAACCUGGUCAGUACCGAAAUGGUCGACCGCUUGGGAAUACUAGAU